rnacentral:ncRNA from 1 species
GUUCCGAGGGGUGCCUUCAUCUGCAAGGCUGAGAGGAUGGGCAAGGCCAUCCAACCCUUUGAACCUGAUCCGGUUCGUACCGGCGAAGGGACAGGAAAAU